rnacentral:rRNA from 1 species
UGGUGGCGAUAGCGAGAAGGAUACACCUGUAACCAUGCCGAACACAGAAGUUAAGCUUCUUAGCGCCGAUUGUAGUGAGGGGUUGCCCCUUGUG